UAGGGAAUCUUCGGCAAUGGACGAAAGUCUGACCGAGCAACGCCGCGUGAGUGAAGAAGGUUUUCGGAUCGUAAAACUCUGUUGUUAGAGAAGAACAAGGACGUUAGUAACUGAACGUCCCCUGACGGUAUCUAACCAGAAAGCCACGGCUAACUACGUGCCAGCAGCCGCGGUAAUACGUAGGUGGCAAGCGUUGUCCGGAUUUAUUGGGCGUAAAGCGAGCGCAGGCGGUUUCUUAAGUCUGAUGUGAAAGCCCCCGGCUCAACCGGGGAGGGUCAUUGGAACCUGGGAGACUUGAGUGCAGAAGAGGAGAGUGGAAUUCCAUGUGUAGCGGUGAAAUGCGUAGAUAUAUGGAGGAACACCAGUGGCGAAGGCGGCUCUCUGGUCUGUAACUGAAGCUGAGGCUCGAAAGCGUGGGGAGCAAACAGG
rnacentral:rRNA from 1 species